rnacentral:rRNA from 1 species
GAUGAACGCUGGCGGCGUGCCUAAUACAUGCAAGUCGAGCGAACAGACGAGGAGCUUGCUCCUUCGACGUUAGCGGCGGACGGGUGAGUAACACGUAGGUAACCUACCUAUAAGACUGGGAUAACUUCGGGAAACCGGAGCUAAUACCGGAUAAUAUUUCGAACCGCAUGGUUCGAUAGUGAAAGAUGGCUUUGCUAUCACUUAUAGAUGGACCUGCGCCGUAUUAGCUAGUUGGUAAGGUAACGGCUUACCAAGGCAACGAUACGUAGCCGACAUGAGAGGGUGAUCGGCCACACUGGAACUGAGACACGGUCCAGACUCCUACGGGAGGCAGCAGUAGGGAAUCUUCCGCAAUGGGCGAAAGCCUGACGGAGCAACGCCGUGUGAGUGAUGAAGGUCUUCGGAUCGUAAAACUCUGUUAUUAGGGAAGAACAAACGUGUAAGUAACUGUGCACGUCUUGACGGUACCUAAUCAGAAAGCCACGGCUAACUACGUG